rnacentral:misc_RNA from 1 species
AUAGUCAAGUAACAACGCAUUAUCAAAGAUUACUCAAAAAGUAGUUAUCAGAUCUCAAUAAAAUUUAUAUGUGACCACAUGACAAACAUCAGCUUUCGAUUAAAUUAAAAAUCAUUAAAAUCGGUACACCUAAUAAAAAGUUAUUGCGGAUUUUCGAGAAUUUCCCUCGAUUUCUCUAGGAUCCCAUCAUCAGAUCCUGG